GAGUUUGAUCAUGGCUCAGAUUGAACGCUGGCGGCAUGCCUUACACAUGCAAGUCGAACGGCAGCACGGGAGCUUGCUCCUGGUGGCGAGUGGUGAACGGGUGAGUAAUGCAUCGGAACGUAUCCUGGAGUGGGGGAUAACGUAGCGAAAGUUACGCUAAUACCGCAUAUUCUGUGAGCAGGAAAGCGGGGGACCUUCGGGCCUCGCGCUCUUGGAGCGGCCGAUGUCGGAUUAGCUAGUUGGUGAGGUAAAGGCUCACCAAGGCGACGAUCCGUAGCAGGUCUGAGAGGAUGAUCUGCCACACUGGAACUGAGACACGGUCCAGACUCCUACGGGAGGCAGCAGUGGGGAAUUUUGGACAAUGGGGGCAACCCUGAUCCAGCCAUGCCGCGUGAGUGAAGAAGGCCU
rnacentral:rRNA from 1 species